UGUUAGGACUAGUAAUAGUCUGUGUGGAAGUGUCUGGCUGGCUCCUCUGUGUUGAUCCCGCAGCGCACUGCCUGUCCCGUAGAGUGUGCCCUGUGCUGCCAAGGACAACGUGCGGUGGUGGCAUUUGCCUUGUAGGGCGAAGAUGGCACGAGGGCACUCAAGUGUCCAUCUUUGGAGGAGGGAGCAGAAAAGCAUACUGGGAGCCCCUGGCUCAUUGCCACCACUGCGCUGGUUCUGCAAGUGGCAGAGGACCCGAGAGAUCCAAGAGCUGAAACCGGUUGAUAAGUCCAAAACUGCCAAGGCUAUCUGCUUCAACUGACACCUUAUCACCAGCCAGCAGCAUUCAGAGGAAGAGACGCGAGCAUGACACUGGGGGAGAGCAGCUGCAGCGUGCAAUGCCCAGCACCGUCUUAUAAACAUCACUCUCGGAUGGGUCGGGAGAACUGAAUCACACCGUGGUGCACGGGUGGCUUUGCAGUGCUAGUCAAACACUGAGCUAACUCUGCCUCCCUUCCUUCUCUUUUAACAUCUGAGCUAAGAGCAUCAGUUUUACCACACAACCUACCAAUCUCUCUGAUCCAUUCCCUCCUGUAAAUCCCCUGGUCUGCUCUAGAGACAAUUCUCAUAAAGUCAUACAUUGCCCUGAACACCAAACCCUGGAUUGGGCACAAUGACUGUCUCUGGAUUAGAAGAAGUAUAGACAUCAGAAUACCUCAGCCUCACAGAGCAGACCCCAUUGUACCUACAGCAGCACAGGGUCCUGUGUGUGAUGCGCACUCAGCUCAUUGCAUAAUUUAAUGACCCGUAAGGGGUCAGUCUGCACAGCAUUGACAUGACGCCACAGUUCAGCACCCAAUGGAGACAGGAAUUCCACAGGACCUGACCUUUCUCCUACUUCUGAAGGGGAAAAGGCCCGGAGCUCAGGAAAAACUAUAAAGUCCGUUGAGCUGUCCAGGGACCCAACAGCUGGUGUCAGGCAGGCACGGAAUGAAAAAGAAGGUGGUUUGUCCUUCUCGCGUCGCAUGUUGCUUAGCACCUGGUAACAGAAGAGGCCCAGGCCCAAGGCAAGGUGCAGCAGCAGCAUGUUGUGAUCACAUUGCAGCAGGACACGCUCAAUGCGCUGGCCCUUAAAGGCCACCUUGAAAGACGCCAACAAGGUGAGGAGCAGCGAAUAUAGAACUGAAUGUGCUGACUCAGCUCCCUCAACAUCUUCAAUCCCUUUUCAGUCUGAGUUUCAUGUGUGCAGUCUUACCAAAACACAUGCACAAAUGCACCAGAUGAAUACUAUAUAGAAACGUGACAGAAAAAACUAUGAACUGUUUAAAUGUUUAAAUUGAGGUUUUUCCAUCACUGAGACAUAUAUAUUUAACGAGAGAUUAUAGAUGUUAGUGCAUUUAAAUAGUAAAUAGUUUGUAGUGAAUUACCAGAAGUGACAAAGUUGAAGAUUAGGCCAACCCUUCAAGGAACUGGCUAACUAUAAUCUGUGAGAUUAUCAGUUUUGGGCCAAGAAUGGCAGUCCAAAAACCACUCUGAAAGCCUAGUUGACAUGGAGUAGUGAAUGUAAACAGCAUUUUUUAAUUUUAAAAACUUUCUUUUACUAACGCAUCCUGAAUAUUCUCCAGUGUCAAUGCUGUCAGGCUGUUUGGACUUCAUUAUCCCAGAUCAUAACUGGCCUCAGCUGUGCACUGACAGGCCCUUUCCUGUAUGGGCCUGGGUCAACAGAGAUGACAAAAUGAUACCAUCUCUUCUCUGAGGGUGUCAAAUGUCUCUGUGUCAUAUUGAGCAUGUCUCUUUGCCCUGUCCCCUGGAUUAGGUAAUAAUAUACCCAGAGCCUCCCUCCCAGCCAGUCUGAAUCCCAUUAGCCAUCACCUUCAUUCCUCACGCCCGCUGAAGGGAUCUGAAGCCUGGCUCAAGCCCUUUUAAGGGGGGGUGUGAGAUCAGGUGAGGACCAGUGUCCUUCUCAGUCUGAUGACAACUCCGACAGGUCCUUGCCCUGUGUUGGGAGGGGCCUGAGCUGAGCUCAGGCAUCUUAAAAGGAUGGCAUGCAUUCUUGACUUAAAGGCGCAUUGUACAUUGCUAUCUGCUACAGCUGAUAACAACACCUCCCAGCUUUAAAUAAAAUGUAAAGUAAAAUGUAAAAACUGUUUUUUGAGCUGACUGUGUUCUUUGUUUUGCUUCCUAUUCAUCCGUGUGAAGUCAAGUGACACAUAUGUUUUAAAAUAUUUUAAUGUAAAAAUAAAAUUGCAGCAGAGAAGACAUUGUGAAUGUUUAAUUAAAAAAAAAAUGGAUCUGUGACUUUUUAUUGGUUUUCCCAACUUUCUAUUUGUCAGGAUGAGAGGGUAACUAAUAAAUGAUGUGUACGUUAGAAAUAUGGGAUACUUUGCUGAUCUCUCACA